GGCCAAGUUUUUAAGGGCGCACGGUGGAUGCCUUGGUACCAGGAACCGAUGAAGGACGUGGGAGGCCACGAUAGUCCCCGGGGAGCCGUCAACCAGGCUUUGAUCCGGGGGUUUCCGAAUGGGGAAACCCGGCAGUCGUCAUGGGCUGUCACCCACAUCUGAACACAUAGGGUGUGUGGAGGGAACGCGGGGAAGUGAAACAUCUCAGUACCCGCAGGAAGAGAAAACAACCGUGAUUCCGGGAGUAGUGGCGAGCGAAACCGGAUGAGGCCAAACCGUAUACGUGUGAGACCCGGCAGGGGUUGCGUGUACGGGGUUGUGGGAUCUCUCUUUCACAGUCUGCCGGCUGUGAGACGAGUCAGAAACCGUUGGUGUAGGCGAAGGACAUGCGAAAGGUCCGGCGUAGAGGGUAAGACCCCCGUAGUCGAAACAUCAACGGCUCGUUUGAGAGACACCCAAGUAGCACGGGGCCCGAGAAAUCCCGUGUGAAUCUGGCGGGACCACCCGCUAAGCCUAAAUAUUCCCUGGUGACCGAUAGCGGAUAGUACCGUGAGGGAAUGGUGAAAAGUACCGCGGGAGCGGAGUGAAAUAGUACCUGAAACCGUGUGCCUACAAGCCGUGGGAGCGUCGCUGUAUGUGCUUGCACAUACAGUCGUGACUGCGUGCCUUUUGAAGAAUGAGCCUGCGAGUUUGCGGUGUGUUGCGAGGUUAACCCGUGUGGGGAAGCCGUAGCGAAAGCGAGUCCGAACAGGGCGAUAUAGUAGCGCGCUCAAGACCCGAAGCGGAGUGAUCUAGCCAUGGGCAGGUUGAAGCGGCUGUAAGAGGUCGUGGAGGACCGAACCCACCAGGGUUGAAAACCUGGGGGAUGACCUGUGGUUAGGGGUGAAAGGCCAAUCAAACUCCGUGAUAGCUGGUUCUCCCCGAAAUGCAUUUAGGUGCAGCGUCGUGUGUUUCUUGCCGGAGGUAGAGCACUGGAUAGGCGAUGGGCCCUACCGGGUUACUGACCUUAGCCAAACUCCGAAUGCCGGUAAGUGAGAGCACGGCAGUGAGACUGUGGGGGAUAAGCUCCAUGGUCGAGAGGGAAACAGCCCAGAGCAUCGACUAAGGCCCCUAAGCGUACGCUAAGUGGGAAAGGAUGUGGAGUCGCAGAGACAACCAGGAGGUUGGCUUAGAAGCAGCCACCCUUGAAAGAGUGCGUAAUAGC
rnacentral:rRNA from 1 species